rnacentral:rRNA from 1 species
AGUGAACGCUGGCGGUAGGCCUAACACAUGCAAGUCGAACGGAAGCACAGUAAGAGCUUGCUCUUACGGGUGGCGAGUGGCGGACGGGUGAGGAAUACAUCGGAAUCUACUUUUUCGGGGGGGAUAACGUAGGGAAACUUACGCUAAUACCGCAUACGACCUACGGGUGAAAGCAGGGGAUCUUCGGACCUUGCGCGAUUGAAUGAGCCGGUGUCGGGUUAGCUAGUUGGCGGGGUAAAGGCCCACCAAGGCGACGCUACGUAGCUGGUCUGAGAGGAUGGGCGGCCACACUGGAACUGAGACACGGUCCAGCUCCCUACGGGAGGCAGCAGUGGGGAAUAUUGGACAAUGGGCGCAAGCCUGAUCCAGCCAGACCGCGUGGGUGAAGAAGUCCUUCGGGUUGUAAAGCCCUUUUGUUGGGAAAGAAAAGCAUCAGGUUAAUACCCCGCUGUUCGGACGGUACCCAAAGAAUAAGCACCGGCUAACUUCGU